rnacentral:lncRNA from 1 species
CCGCUCCGGUUAACCCCAGCUGUACUGAGCAGCUGCAAGGUGGCCUGCCAGCCUGAAACUCUCCUCAGACCUGGGACCCUCUUUGGCCUGAACUCUCUGGAGACCCCAGUCCCUUGAGUCGUUUGGGGAUAGUUACCUCCCUUGCCCUCCCCAAUACCGAGGGAAGGCAGCCUCUGGCUGUCCUUCUGUGCCUGUCCUUGGGAAGCUGGCAAACCACAAUGGUGGAAAGCUGGAGGAGGGGCCGUCCUGGACUGUCUGAGGGUGCAGAUGAACGCCUGCCCUGGACCCCACUCUGGGAGAGACUCCCCAGUUCCUGGCAGGGAGCAGAGCUGCCCUGAGGGGAAGCAAGUCAGGAGUGCGAUCCGCAGAGAUUAGAAAUUGGAAGCACUCGGAGGGGCACCGCGGAGCUGCAGGAGACCCAUAAACUCAAGAUCCGAGGACACAGCCGGGGAAGCCAGGGACAAAUAGGGAAGGAAGCAGCAGCGCUUGGGAGAGAGUUGGAGCGCCUGGAGGGGCAAACUGCCCUUGCGGAUGAGGGGGCCAGGGCGGGACAGAGCAAAGGCAGGCAGCGCACUGUGUUCGAGGCCCUGAGCAGGAGCCCAGGGCACACAGUGGCUGAACCGGUGCCUCUGCCUCUACAGAUGCCCGCGCCGUCGCGGCGCAUCCUCCUGCCCAGCUCUCCAGACAACGCACGGAGCACCGAGGAGACUCAUUCGUGGCACAGCCAGGAUCUCGCGAGGAAGUGUGGGUGGAGGGUGAGGAGAGAACUCGUGCAGAGCAUGGGUGUGUGAACGAGUGCUGUGUGAGUGCAUGUGUGUGUAAAUGUGUGGGAGUGUGCCUGAGUCAGAUUGUGCGCCCACGCGUGCGUAUAUAUGGGUGUACACGCCCUGGUUUCCACCGCAUUCUCCAUAAUCUUAAAAAUACUGAAGACCAGUAUGGUGGCGCACAGCUGUAAUCCCGGCACUCAGGAGCUGAGGCAGCAGGAUCACAAGUUCAAACCUAGCCUGGACAAUCUAACAAACACUUGUCUCAAAAUAACAAUAAAAAUAUAAAAGUGCUGAG